CUUUACUUGGCUACACUCACUA
rnacentral:siRNA from 1 species